rnacentral:rRNA from 1 species
GAUGAACGCUGGCGGCGUGCCUAAUACAUGCAAGUCGAGCGAAUGGAUUAAGAGCUUGCUCUUAUGAAGUUAGCGGCGGACGGGUGAGUAACACGUGGGUAACCUGCCCAUAAGACUGGGAUAACUCCGGGAAACCGGGGCUAAUACCGGAUAACAUUUUGAACCGCAUGGUUCGAAAUUGAAAGGCGGCUUCGGCUGUCACUUACGGAUGGACCCGCGUCGCAUUAGCUAGUUGGUGAGGUAACGGCUCACCAAGGCGGCGAUGCGUAGCCGACCUGAGAGGGUGAUCGGCCACACUGGGACUGAGACACGGCCCAGACUCCUACGGGAGGCAGCAGUAGGGAAUCUUCCGCAAUGGACGAAAGUCUGACGGAGCAACGCCGCGUGAGUGAUGAAGGCUUUCGGGUCGUAAAACUCUGUUGUUAGGGAAGAACAAGUGCUAGUUGAAUAAGCUGGCACCUUGACGGUACCUAACCAGAAAGCCACGGCUAACUACGUGCCAGCAGCCGCGGUAA